GCUCUCUUGAAAAUAUAUCACACACUCACAAUAAUUUUCAUUUAAAGAAAAUUUUGCAUGAAAAUAUUUUUGCAUGAAAAGUAAUAAUUUAUUAGUAAAAUUGCAUAAUUGUUUUUUUCAUUUAAAUCAUGAUUUCGCGUGAUCUCUUUCUAAAAAGUCAUAACUGAUUUUAUUGUGACUUAUUCAAUUAGCUCAUAAUAUUGUUUCAACGUGUCUUAAUUCUUAGCAAAUGCUAAUUGAGAGAUAAUUGAUAUAUUUCCUGAAUUGUUUCUAACGGCU
rnacentral:lncRNA from 1 species